rnacentral:rRNA from 1 species
CUACGGAGGUUGCAAGCGUUAAUCGGAAUUACUGGGCGUAAAGCGCGCGUAGGCGGUUUGGUAAGUCGGAUGUGAAAGCCCCGGGCUCAACCUGGGAAUUGCAUUCGAUACUGCCAGACUAGAGUAUGGUAGAGGGAAGUGGAAUUCCGGGUGUAGCGGUGAAAUGCGUAGAUAUCCGGAGGAACACCAGUGGCGAAGGCGACUUCCUGGACCAAUACUGACGCUGAGGUGCGAAAGCGUGGGGAGCAAACAGGAUUAGAUACCCUAGUAGUCC